CACUCUGUGAACAUUUUAAGCUUCUCCUUUCCAUUCUAGGUCCCACUAUAUGAGCUUUCAUUGGUACAUUUUGGGUACUCUUUGCUAUUUUUUCCAUGUGAAAUAUUGGUUCAUCUCUGUUUAAUCUUAUUGCAUCAGUACAUAGUUGGGUAUAUAUAUAUACUCACACACACACACACACACACACACACACACACACACACAACUACAUUGAAUUCUUGUACAAGUGGCUUCUCCAUGCAUGGAUAUGACUCUAACGAGGAUUUUCAAUCAUUUCUGUGUCAAAUGUUUGUGCUUAUGGGAAGGUUUUAAAAAUUGUUCCAUACAACACAAUUUGGUUUGGUCCGAGUUAUAUCAGUUUUGGCUUUGGGUGAGCACUGUUGUUUUUUUUUUUUUUUUUUUCUUUUGUGAGCACUCUUAUGUUUUCAUAUUUUGCAGAUGUGGUUUAUUCUUCAAACGACACUUCUUUCAGAUUUUCCCCUCAGAAUGAUGCAUUCACUUUUCUUUAAUGCUUAUUGGUUUAUCAUGGUUUUGAGUUGAGAGUGGUUAUUUGUGGAUCUGAAUUUUUACUUACAUUUCUCCAAAACUGUCCUUGCCACAACUGACAUGUUUGUUUGUUUGUUUUGUUUUGUUUUGUUUUGUUUUUUUUUUUUGGUCAUUGUAGAUUCUUUUCAAGUAUCCUCCUAGGAAGAGCUUUGCCGCAAAUGACAUGUUUGGUUUUGAUCUGUUCAGACCAGGCAAAGCUGGAUUGAGGAAAUCAAUCAACGGCAAGCAGAAGUACUUGAUGCCCAACUGACGGUUGAGCAGCUUCAACAACAAUAUCAGUUGCUCAUGACCCAAAAUGAGAUGUUGAAGUUGGUUGCAGUAUGCUGAGCGGAUUCCUAUUGGGUUGGAAAAGGUGAUUCGAACAGUUUCUUCUGAAACGGUCAAGCAAUUUUAUAAUAUAUGGUACCAUUUACACAAUAUGGCUGUGGUCACUGUUGGAGAUUUUACUGAU